UACGAAGGGGGCUAGCGUUGUUCGGAAUCACUGGGCGUAAAGCGCACGUAGGCGGAUUGUUAAGUCGGGGGUGAAAUCCUGAGGCUCAACCUCAGAACUGCCUUCGAUACUGGCAAUCUCGAGUCCGGAAGAGGUUGGUGGAACAGCUAGUGUAGAGGUGAAAUUCGUAGAUAUUCGGAGGAACACCAGUGGCGAAGGCGGCUCACUGGUCCGGUACUGACGCUGAGGUGCGAAAGCGUGGGGAGCAAACAGG
rnacentral:rRNA from 1 species